GGCCUAAACCUAGCUUUUGUUAGGCAUGGCCUCAAAUCGUCGUAAACAGAAACCCCAUCAUUAAGGUCGUUUACGACGUUAUAUCGGGAAACCGGUAUAGACCUUCGGGUC
rnacentral:sRNA from 1 species